rnacentral:rRNA from 1 species
UACGUAGGUGGCAAGCGUUGUCCGGAAUCACUGGGCGUAAAGCGCACGUAGGCGGAUUGUUAAGUCGGGGGUGAAAUCCUGAGGCUCAACCUCAGAACUGCCUUCGAUACUGGCAAUCUCGAGUCCGGAAGAGGUUGGUGGAACAGCUAGUGUAGAGGUGAAAUUCGUAGAUAUUAGCUAGAACACCAGUGGCGAAGGCGGCCAACUGGUCCGGUACUGACGCUGAGGUGCGAAAGCGUGGGGAGCAAACAGG